GACGGAGGAUGCAAGUGUUAUCCGGAAUCACUGGGCGUAAAGCGUCUGUAGGUGGUCAAAUAAGUCAACUGUUAAAUCUUGAGGCUCAACCUCAAAAUCGCAGUCGAAACUAUUCGACUAGAGUAUAGUAGGGGUAAAGGGAAUUUCCAGUGGAGCGGUGAAAUGCGUAGAGAUUGGAAAGAACACCGAUGGCGAAGGCACUUUACUGGCUAUUACUAACACUGAGAG
rnacentral:rRNA from 1 species